rnacentral:lncRNA from 1 species
UCUCCCCAUAACCCGUCUUGUUUCUUUCCAUUUAUAAUUCUUGUACAAACUACUGGUAACUGCCGGGGACGUAUGUUCCUUCCAUGUCAGACACCGACAUGUGGGGCACCCUGCAUACGAGCACGAACGCUGAACCAUCCCAGAAAAAUCGUCGGUGCCUGUAACAACCGCGUAACAACCGGGCAUGAGCCGACAGAUGGCGUUACAGGUUUAUAAAACCCGAUCCCCAUGUGCCUUCCGCCAUAACCAGGCUUGGGAGCUAGCGCAACCUUGCAUGGAUGAUUACGCUGAAGCACAGCGACGAGUAGGAGAGAGAGAAUAGAGCCGCUACGACCACGCCUCGCGUUCACCAUCGCCCAGCCUCUCGAUCGCUGGGGAAUCGGGCGAGAUCACCAAGUCGUGCAGAACGUGCGUGUGGUCAGCAGAGCAAGGAAGUUGGCGGGGGAGACGAAUUGCUUGCCGGUGCUUGGCCGAAUCCUCACCGGGAAUCCUCGGGCGGCACUGCAGCGUCGACCGGCCGCAUCGACGUCUUCUCGAGUGGUGAGACCCUACUAAAUUACUCGCCGUAGCAUCCGCAUAGAUGAUCCCCAUUCAAUUUCCGAAUUUAGACAUAGAAAUCGGCAGGGUUGGUUCGCCACCAAUGGCGACGUCGUGCCUUCGUGUUCUGUCGCCGGUCGGGCGCCGUGGUGAGAGAGAGAGAGGAUUGGGGGGGAGAAAAAUGAAGGGCUUGGGCUGUUGGAUCAUACACGGACGGCGCCGAUCUAACCGCGCAUACCCCUUCGCUCAAUAGGAUUUGGGCCGUAGAUCUGAGAUCAAGCGAUCAGGAUUUGAUCAUAGUCAUUCUUAAUCUGGACUGACGAUCUUUAAUCCGGUGGUCCUCAUGGCUGACCGGAUCAUUUUUAAUGAAGUCUAAUCCUGGCCGCGGAAUUUAGAUCUGACGGCUGAAGUCAGCCCGUACCCCUUCGGCCGGGGAUAAUUGCACGUGAGCCCUCAUAAAACUAUCAAAUAAACCCGUCGUCCACUCACGUGGAAAACUAAUUAAAUCUAGGUCCUGAGUUUCACAGUUUAGACCCUGUGUUUUCUAGAAAUUGUGUUCGCAGGCCAGAAUUAAUAGGGAUAUUCAUAAUUAAAUCAGAAAAUGAUUUUUUUAUAAAAAUAAAUCUAGGAACUUGUUUAAUUCAUAGUUAAUUCAUUUUAGCUCCAGAUUGAGUUAUUCCAGUUGCAAUAAUUUUGUUUUAAUAUUAUCUAUCAUCUAGUGCUUCUGUUUAGCCAUAAAACUUGAAUUAAAAAUGUUCAUUUGAAUUAAUCUAUUCUAGGUGCUUAACAACUCCAGAAAUUCAUAACUUGUUAACCGUAACUUCGAAUUUAGUAAUUCUUGUUCCUAUGAUCUCGUUAUGCAGCUUAGAAUAUUAUUAUGUAGUUUGAUCUUAUAUUUGGUGUGAUGUUAAUUUUGCAUAUACAUGUUUGUCUGUAUUGCUACGUUUAGCAGUGAGGACACGAGUUACCUGAAGAUCAUCUUGGUACCUGGAAUCUCAAGUCCCAGGCAAGUUGUGCCCUUGAUCACUUCUUUUUACCCAGUCAUGUUCUGAUUAAUCAUAAUGAUCUGCAUAGGUUAAUUUUGAUGGGACCCAAUAGGUUACCCUAGUUUGAUUAUCUUUAUACCUUGAUUACCACUGACUUUUUGGGUAGCACCUGCUAUUGCUUUAUGUGGUUUUGGGUAUGAAGAUUACAUUAUUCAUGAUUACACUUUUGUUAUUAGUUGUUAUUUACUAUUCAUGAUAAGAUCAUUAUGUUAAUUGGAACAUGGAGAACCACCCGGGAAAACAGUGCUACCACAAGUGUUUAUGGACGCCCUUGGCUGAUUAACUAGGAAAGCUAGUGGAGGUCUUCCUUACCCGAAAGGGGCAAGGGCAGUAGGGGAGUGGUCACUGUAGGGAGGUCCUUGGUUGAUUUUGCUGCGAUGGCGGUCAGGCAAGAACCCUGCAUUGGAGCUUCCUAUAAACUGUAGCGGGAUUUCUGAAGCUAGUGGAACUUUGUAAAGGCCUCGUAGUGUUACCCUGCCUCGCCUCCUCGGUAGAGGUGUAUGGGAUUGGCCGUCUCUUGGCAGAUGGGUAACAUGACUUGUGGGUAAAGAUGUGCAACCUCUGCAGAGUGUAAAACUGGUAUACUAGCCGUGCUCACGGUCAUGAGCGGCUCGGACACUCACAUGAUUAAAUUAUGGAACUUAAACUCAAUUUGUCAUAUGCAUUGCAUCGCAGGUGAGGUUGUUACUUUUGUUCUACUAAAUUGGGCUGGUAUUUACUUAUACUUAGUAAUUGCUAAUAAAAUUUUGACCAACUUUAAAAGCAAUGCUCAGCUCUAACCAUCAUCUUUGGUAAGCCUUACACUUCACGUGAGCUCCCACCUUUGGCGAGUUCAUGCACAUUAUUCCCCACAACUUGUUGAGCGAUGAACGUAUGUGAGCUCACUCUUGCUGUCUCACACCCCCCCCACAGGUCAAGAAUAGGUACCAUAGGAUGAGGCGCUUGGAGGAUGCUGUGACGAGUUCGUGAGAGGUCUAGGUCGUCGUCUCCCAGUCAACUUUGGGUUGCCGGACCGUUGUCUCCAUAUAAUGUAUUUAUUUAUUUAUUUUGUACAAAACUCCAAUUAUAUAGUAAAGAUGUGACAUUCGAUCAUGUGCCAUGAUUCAUCAUAUGUGUGAGACUUGGUCCUAGCACACCUGGUGAUUAUGUUCGCGCCCGGGUCUUGGUGCCCCGAAACCCGGGUGUGACAGAAGUGGUAUCAGAGGAAUGUUGACUGUAGGACGUAACCUAGAUAGAACUGGACAACCAUUGUCUACUUACCUUUGCUACUCUGAUUCUUUUCUAAACUUAUCUUAAUCUUUUCUCAUCCAUUUCUGCUUUACUCUGAUUAUUCUUACCUUUUUCUUAUAAAGACAAAUGUGGAUUUCACACUCUGAAAUCCUGUACCUAAAGUGACUUUUAGGAAUAGGAGACUUAAUCUUAGGAACAAAAAAACAAAACUAUUUUUUUAUCUAUACGCUUGAAUGUUUGUUCUUAUGAUAUUUGUCUGAUUUGGAUCUUUGAUUGAGUGUGAUGGGUUGUGGAGUAAUGUCCACAAUUACAUCUGCAUAUACAUAUAGGGAAAAAUGCUUAUAAAAAUAACUAGAUAAACUAGAUUAUCCCUCAUUAAAGGAUCUAGCCAAACAAUAUCCAUCUCAUCUUAAAAGAUUCUAUCCUACACUCGUAGAUCCAUCUUAUCUUAAGAAGAUACUCAUCUUAUCUUGAAAAGAUUUUAUGUCAUGCUAAUAGAUCUAACUGAUCUCAAAUGAUUCUAUCUUAUCUUUAUGGAUCCAUCUUAUCCUAACAAGCAUACUUAUCCACCCUAGUUUAACAACCAUGAUCUAAUGCAAAUUAAUUAGAUCUUAUCUAGUCAAACUAGUCAUACCAAUCUAAUCUAGAUCCCAUCUAAUCUAAUAUGAUCUAAUCUAAUGUGGUCUAUUUAAACAGAUUAGUGAUACUGGUAGAAGAGAUUAAACCCUACUAGCCAGGUAUUAACUUAACUUCGCACAUUAGACCAACUCAACCAUGGGCAUAAGAUCUAACCUAGCCAAUAGAGUCUUGAUGGAUUGCAUAAUCUAUCUAUCUCCACCUAACCUCAAACAAACUUUUGACCUACAUCAAUCUCACCCAUAUCUAUCUUAACCAUACCCUGGUAACUCCGAUGAUAAACGCUGACCCCAACUCAAUGAGACCAAGACCAGAAAAGAACAAGAUCAACCUCGUCAAGGAAGGAGAGAAGUCAAACUCGAUCUUCAGAUGCAUUACCACCCAACAAGGAGUCCUUUCUCACCAUAAACUGUCUUACCCCUAGCUAUUGUUUCCCUAACCUAUCCAUCUCUUAUAUCCUACAUAAUAGGUGGCUAGAAACCCAUGCUUUCCUAAAUACCUAUUUAUUUGUAUAAAAAAAACUUUUCAAUAUUGAACUAAAAGACAAUUACAAGCAAAACUUUCUACACCUCUUUCUUACAAAUCUCGAGGACGAGAUUUUUGUUAAGGGGGGUAGGAUUUGUAAAGCCCUAAAAUUGCGUAGGAUAAAAAAUGAUAAAAUAAUACAUACAUAUAUAAAAUUGUUUUGGGAACACAGAACCUUGGGAGACUAUCAAUUUAUUUAUCAAUAGGUUAUACCCUUCAUGAACAAUAUAAAUAGAAACCAUCUUUUAAUCAAGCUAAAAGUAAUUAAUGAUAAAGUUUGGACAUUACUUCCUCUAAAAUAAGUAGUAAAUAUGCACUUUUGAAUCGACCUUUAAUUUUACAACACCUUCAAAUAAUAUUUUUCUAAAAGAAAGAUAGCGUGUGUACUUCAUAUUUGAAACAAUUGUCUAAUUAAUAAAUAAAACAAUAAAUGUAAAUAUAUAUCUACAUAUAUUUGCAUUCAUGCGGGAGUUUGAUUGUGCAUUUUUAAGUAUGUGUCAAAUCCAAAACUAAUUUUGAAUUCUAUUCGAAUUUGGAAUUGUAAGUUAAGAAAAUGAUAAAAAUAUAGAUGAAGAGAGAACAAACCGGUUUGACCCAAUCUCACUCACGUGGCCUACAUUCUCUUCUCUCUCCCCAUAACCCGUCUUGUUUCUUUCCAUUUAUAAUUCUUGUACAAACUACUGGUAACAGCCGGGGGACGUAUGUUCCUUCCAUGUCAGACACCGACACGUGGGGCACCCUGCAUACGAGCACGAACGCUGAACCAUCCCAGAAAAAUCGUCGGUGCCUGUAACAACCGCGUAACAACCGGGCAUGAGCCGACAGAUGGCGUUACAGGUUUAUAAAACCCGAUUCCCAUGUGCCUUCCGCCAUAACCAGGCUUGGGAGCUAGCGCAACCUUGCAUGGAUGAUUACGCUGAAGCACAGCGACGAGUAGGAGAGAGAGAAUAGAGCCGCUGCGACCACGCCUCGCGUUCACCAUCUCCCAGCCUCUCGAUCGCUGGGGAAUUGGGCGAGAUCACCAAGUCGUGCAGAUCGUGCGUGUGGUCAGCAGAGCAAGGAAGUUGGCGGGGGAGACGAAUUGCUUGCCGGUGCUUGGCCGAAUCCUCACCGGGAAUCCUCGGGCGGCACUGCAGCGUCGACCGGCCGCAUCGACGUCUUUUCGAGUGGUGAGACCCUACUAAAUUACUCGCCGUAGCAUCCGCAUAGAUGAUCCCCAUUCAAUUUCCGAAUUUAGACCUAGAAAUCGGCAGGGUUGGUUCGCCACCAAUGGCGACGUCGUGCCUUAGCGUUCUGUCGCCGGUCGGGCACCGUGGUGAGAGAGAGAGGAUUGGGGGGGAGAAAAAUGAAGGGCUUGGGCUGUUGGAUCAUACACGGACGGCGCCGAUCUAACCACGCAUACCCCUUCGCUCAAUAGGAUUUGGGCCGUAGAUCUGAGAUCAAGCGAUCAGGAUUUGAUCAUAGUCAUUCUUAAUCUGGACUGACGAUCUUUAAUCCGGU